rnacentral:misc_RNA from 1 species
AGCAGCCGCGGUAAUUCCAGCUCCAAUAGCGUAUAUUAAAGUUGUUGUGGUUAAAAAGCUCGUAGUUGAACCUUGGGCCUGGCUGGCCGGUCCGCCUCACCGCGUGUACUGGUCCGGCCGGGCCUUUCCCUCUGUGGAACCCCAUGCCCUUCACUGGGUGUGGCGGGGAAACAGGACUUUUACUUUGAAAAAAUUAGAGUGCUCCAGGCGGGCCUAUGCUCGAAUACAUUAGCAUGGAAUAAUAGAAUAGGACGUGUGGUUCUAUUUUGUUGGUUUCUAGGACCGCCGUAAUGAUUAAUAGGGACAGUCGGGGGCAUCAGUAUUCAAUUGUCAGAGGUGAAAUUCUUGGAUUUAUUGAAGACUAACUACUGCGAAAGCAUUUGCCAAGGAUGUUUUCAUUAAUCAGGAACGAAAGUUAGGGGAUCGAAGACGAUCAGAUACCGUCGUAGUCUUAACCAUAAACUAUGCCGACUAGGGAUCGGACGAUGUUAUUUUUGACUCGUUCGGCACCUUACGGGAA